GCCGAGAUAGCUCAGUUGGUAGAGCAGUGGAUUGAAGCUCCUCGUGUCAUCGGUUCAAAUCCGAUUCUUGGCA
rnacentral:tRNA from 1 species